rnacentral:rRNA from 1 species
CAGUCGCCGCGGGAAUACGUAGGUGGCAAGCGUUGUCCGGAAUUAUUGGGCGUAAAGGGCUCGCAGGCGGUUUCUUAAGUCUGAUGUGAAAGCCCCCGGCUCAACCGGGGAGGGUCAUUGGAAACUGGGAAACUUGAGUGCAGAAGAGGAGAGUGGAAUUCCACGUGUAGCGGUGAAAUGCGUAGAGAUGUGGAGGAACACCAGUGGCGAAGGCGACUCUCUGGUCUGUAACUGACGCCGAGGAGCGAAAGCGUGGGGAGCGAACAGGAUUAGAUACCCCGGUAGUCCCUGUCUCUUAUAA